GGGCCCGCACAAGCAGUGGAGUAUGUGGUUUAAUUCGAAGCAACGCGAAGAACCUUACCAGGGCUUGACAUGCAGGUGAAUAUGCAAGAGAUUGUAUAGUCCUUCGGGACACCUGUGCAGGUGGUGCAUGGUUGUCGUCAGCUCGUGUCGUGAGAUGUUGGGUUAAGUCCCGCAACGAGCGCAACCCCUGUUGUUAGUUGCCAUCAUUCAGUUGGGCACUCUAACGAGACUGCCGGUGACAAAUCGGAGGAAGGUGGGGACGACGUCAAAUCAUCAUGCCCCUUAUGUCCUGGGCUACACACGUACUACAAUGGCUAUAACAGCAGGAAGCGAAAGAGCAAUCUGGAGCAAAUCCUCAAAUAUAGUCCCAGUUCAGAUUGUGGGCUGCAACCCGCCCACAUGAAGUCGGAAUUGCUAGUAAUGGCAGGUCAGCAUACUGCCGUGAAUACGUUCCCGGGCCUU
rnacentral:rRNA from 1 species